AACUCGAAUCAUCCAUGAUACCAUGCAUGUGGAGCCUUUUACCUUAAUGGGAGAUUCAAUGACACGAUGUGGUGCAAAUGAAAAGAGACCAUUUAUUAUUAUGGAUUGCAAAACAGCUUUUCUAGUGUGUGAAGUGCUGAUAAGAGGAUUGUCCUGAUGUUCUUUCAUCGAUGGAUUAUAUAUUUGGACAUGAUGCUCUGUCAGCUGGUCUUUUAUUAGCUCCUGUACAUGUGGUUUGAUUUAACUGUUUAUUGAAAUAGCAGUAUUUUGAUGUAGGAAACUGACCGUAUUUUUACAGCAAUUGUUUUUACAGUUUACCAUGAGUAAUAGUGCAACACAUACAGCUGACAAUAAUUCUAAUACUUAUUGCAAUGACAACCAAGAAUCUCCAGAGGCAAUACAGCAAUACAUCUUACAUUCAGUUCCUAAACUAAAUUAUGCCUCAACACUUCAGCUUGAUCAUACAGGAAGUUACUUUUAACACCAUUUUUAUUCUAUACUUAGCAGCAGUUAGCGUCAAACAAGACCACAUUGUUGCUGCUAGAUGAUGCUGGUUAGUACUACUGAGUCUACUUAGGAUAAGUUUUAUUUUGUGAAGAUAUGACAGCAAAAGAGACCUGUGACAAUUUUGGCGACUGGCCUCGCUACUUCUUGUUCUGUGUCUGGGUCAUCGACAUUGCCAUGAUAUUUUUGGUUUAUCACUUGGAAACACGUUUGAAAGAGAUAACUGAAAAUUUCCUAAGGGACAGACAUGAAGAAGAGGACUAUAUCAACUACAGAACAAGCUGAAGCAAUAAUUGAACAAUUAAUGUAAAACUACUCCCAUACAAAUAUGACCGGACAAAGAAUUGACUUCUUGUAUUGGAGUGUCUUAAUAUAGACCUAUUUCAUUAAAUGAAUUUAUGUUCAUCACAUUCAAAUGUAUAAUUUGUGUGGCAGUCUGCAGUAAAUUAUAAUAAGUACAGCUUGAUAAUGUGUUGCUCAGCUUUUCUGAUAAAAAAAAUACUUUGCUUAUACUGAAAAGAUAAUACACUUGUAUAAUAUCUAAAUACAACGAUUGUAUAUAACCUUUUUUACCUGUCACAAAAAAGCCUGAGUUUCAGGUGGGUCUGGAUAUUAUCCCUAAGUAAACGCUUAAAGGAACUGUUCACUCAAAAUGUGAGAAGACUCAAUAUGUUAUUUUUGUGUAAAAAAUAAUGAUAAAAGUCUCAUCUUCUUUUGUUGACACCUGUGAAGGAUUUUUUUAAUUAAUCAUAACAUUUCUUUUUCUUGCAGUCUUAACAUGUGUAUGCUUUUGAGUACUAAAUGUCCCCAACACUUAAUUUUUAUCCAUGUGUUGCAAUAAAAAGAUGCUGAUGCUGGCCAAA